GGAUGUGUUCUGGGGAAGGGCAGGUUUGGGUUCUGUGUUUGUACAGUGACACUUCCAAAGAAGGGGGCUUGGAGACACUGGCCUGUGCACUUGGGGUCCAGAGGAAUUUCACAGAGGGACAGAGGCACAUGCCCUUAACAUCAGGCAGAUCCAGCUACAGAGGAACAGGAACAAGAGGACAGAGAACCCAAACCUUUAGCCUGCGUUCGUUGGCAGUGUGGAUAUCCUCAUCAGUUUGGAUCACACCAAAGACUCCUUUGGACCAUUCCUCAGAGAUCUACAAACACCAGCAGAAACACCAGUCAGCUACAACAGUUACCCUGCUGUGUGGGGGGCUGUAAGGGUCCCCAGCAAAUUCCUGCCAUCCCUGUGAAAACUUAACCCCAAAGUGUUAAGUCUCAUGAGCUCUGGUAUUCAGGCCAAGGCUGGCUGCUUGCUGUAUCCUGAUAUCCUGGACUACUGGGAUUCAUCUCUCUACCCAUGGCAAUCCCGCAGUGUUAUGGCUGUAGGAGGAUUUAAGCAUUGCAAGGAAGAAGUGAGCCAAAACAUCACUGAUUGCUUUAGCACUGUCCACAAAGGUUUUCCUAUAAAACAUUGUACAGACUCACCGUUGUCCGUGGUGGGUGAGGAACAACAAUGGAUAUUUUAAAAAAAGCGCUUUGCUGCUGACUCCUCUUCCCCCCUACACAUGCUAUGCAUUGCCUCCUACCAGAGGGCAGCCAGACUCUAAAGGAUCCCACGUGCCAGCAGGAAAAGAAUGUUCUUACUUCAUACUGAAAUGAUUCCUAGUGAAUGUUCAGUCUGAAGAGGAUGGGACACGAGGACAUUUGAGGACGCUCUUUAGAGCAGCAGCUCAGAUGCUGUCAGGUACAGAGCCAUUCAUUCCAGCACACAUCACAGUUUGUGAAGGAGAGACAUACCUUUUCCAGGCCACUCAGGAUCUUCUCCAGCUCAGUUUUAGACAGGAUUCCAGCCUUCUCCAAGGCUUUAGCAUAAGCCAUGCUCCCCUGAAUAUCAACUUCAGACAGUCUCUGAUCAACAGUAAUGGAAGCGCUGAGCAUCUCCAUGAUUGGAUCUGUGCUUCCAACAAACCUUCCCGCCAUCAUUUUAUCCCCCUGCAAGUAAUGAAGUUGAGAGGCAUGUUCAAAAGACUUAUGGAUAUAUCUGCUAAAAAUCAGUCCAUGUCCAUUCCACUCCUUAUCAAACUAAAACUGAGGACAAUCUCAGGAAUGGAAUUUUUUCGGUCUAUACCAUUGACCUGAAACCCCUUGGACUUUAAUGCCUUUGGGCAGCAGUUGUAGAGGUGGAGCACAUGUUGCUGUCUCUAGAAUUUAGCCCUUGAGGUUACAGGUCUGGCUCGGGAAUCCUCCAAGACAUUUUACCCCUGCAGGACUCUGCAGGAAGUAUGUCCUGUCUGUGAUAAUAAGUAUCAGGCAAUGGGGUGCAAGACCAGCGUGGCACUCUCUUUUAAGGCAGCUGCUGAUCACUGACCCUUUGAGAGUCUCUUGACAGGGAAAAAAAGUCAGGGAGAUAUACUGAAAGCUGUUAUCUACUACUAUUUGAAAUACUAAAAAAAAAUCCCACUCUUUUAGGGUGACUGUAAGAAAACAUUGAGCUGACAAAGAGCUGUGGGCCAGCACAAGCUACAUCCUGUCAAACACUCCUGUAACUAUCAAGUGUGUGAAGUUACCGUUUGAAGCAUCUCCAGAGUCCACGACGUUCUUGCAAGUUUUGGCACAAAAUUGAGAUAAAACCGGCAAAGGUGCCGAUUGCAGAAAGGGAGGUCUGGGUGCCGUUCGGUGUUACAAAUGUUAGCGUAAAGCGAAAAAAGGAAGAGAAAAAAGCCCAAAGUACCCCCGGAAGGGCUCGGAAGAUGCGCGGCGCCGGGCGGGCGGCCGAGCUACCAUGGACAGCGAGCGGCGGCGGGACCGGACCGGGGACCGGAGCAGCCCUUUCCCCAAAUUACUGUCGAGGGAAGAGCAGGAGGGACCCUGCGGAGCCAGGGUGCAGGCUCGGGGUGCUGGAGCUCUGGGUGUGGAGCAGGACACUUACACCAGGAAGCAGUGCUUGAUCCUUUUGCAGUCAUGUUCUUUCCUACUGUGAAAUCCCUCAUUUUUACCACUUUUCUUGUCUUCUUCACCCUUUAGAAGCGUCCUUUUCUUUACUCUGGGCUUUGACAGGAGAUUGCUGAUGUGUUGGGGAACCAGUAAUCAGUGAGUUUAUAACCAGAGUGAAUCUAUGUCAGUAAGAUCUUAUUAAUCUGUGUCUGAUAUUACAUGUGGCAGGGACAUGUGCUUCCACAUGGGAUCUGUCAGCAGUGUCACUGUGUGUUUAGCAAACUUCCCAGGGAUUAGUUGGCUUGUAGUACGCUGCUCAACUCUUGUCCCAGUUCGUAUCUAGGAAAUUAUUAAUUCUCUUUCCUAUUUUUAGAUGAAAUAAACAAUAACUACCUUUUCUGUAUAAUAAUGUAGAAUAUAGACUAAUAUUUUUGUAAUAAAAAUGGAAGUGAAACUGUAAAUACAAAAAUGAACAUUGAAGAAAUAUGAUUUCUUAAAGAUGCUGGAGCUGGAGAGUUGGACUUUUUUUGAGGGGAAAAAGGUAAAAUAGCAUUGCAAAAUAGGUUUUCUAAGGCAUACUGAUGUGCAUUCUCAUUCCUAUCUUCUCUAUUUGUUCUGGUUUGGAUGGCUCUCCAUUUCCCAUCAUCUUCUUUCAGUAUUUUGUUUGCUUUGUGAAACGGAAAGAUUAACCCCCAAAAUCUUCACACCACAAUUAAUAUCAAAGAAGGUCUGAGGGAAAGGUCUUCCACUUAAUUACCUUUCUGGCACAGUGGAUGGCAAAUCAUUCAUUAAGGUACAAUGAGGUAGUGCUAGAGAGUAAAUUGCCCAUUUUGCAGCAUGGAGAAGUUUAAUUAAAUAUAUUUUAGUGUA